GACAGAGGCCUCGAGCGUUAGGCGGAAUCACUGGGCUUAAAGCGUGUGUAGGCGGAUCGUUAAGUGCCUUGUGAAAUCCCACGGCUUAACUGUGGAACGGCUGGGCAUACUGGCGGUCUUGAGCCAUCUAGGGGCGACUGGAACAAACGGUGUAGCGGUGAAAUGCGUAGAUAUCUGGAGGAACACCGGUGGCGAAGGCGCCCACCUGGCCUGCUACUGACGCUGAAGCUCGAAAAGCUAGGGGGAGCAAACGGG
rnacentral:rRNA from 1 species